rnacentral:tRNA from 1 species
GGGAGUUAGCUCAGUUGGUUAGAGCGCCGGCCUGUCACGUCGGAGGUCGCGGGUUCAAGUCCCGUACUUCC